CGUACACUCCUGCGGGAGGCAGCAGUGAGGAAUAUUGGACAAUGGGUGGAAGCCUGAUCCAGCCAUCCCGCGUGCAGGAAGACGGCCCUAUGGGUUGUAAACUGCUUUUAUCUGGGGAUAAACCUACUUACGUGUAAGUAGCUGAAGGUACCAGAAGAAUAAGCACCGGCUAACUCCGUGCCAGCAGCCGCGGUAAUACGGAGGGUGCAAGCGUUAUCCGGAUUUAUUGGGUUUAAAGGGUCCGUAGGCGGACUGAUAAGUCAGUGGUGAAAUCCGACAGCUUAACUGUCGAACUGCCAUUGAUACUGUUAGUCUGGAGUAAGGUUGAAGUGGCUGGAAUAAGUAGUGUAGCGGUGAAAUGCAUAGAUAUUACUUAGAACACCAAUUGCGAAGGCAGGUCACUAAGUCUUAACUGACGCUGAUGGACGAAAGCGUGGGGAGCGAACAGGAUUAGAAACCCGAGUAGUCCCAUG
rnacentral:rRNA from 1 species